CCUACGAGGGGCUGUAGUGAGGAAUAUUGGUCAAUGGGCGCGAGCCUGAACCAGCCAAGUAGCGUGAAGGAUGACUGCCCUACGGGUUGUAAACUUCUUUUAUAAAGGAAUAAAGUGAGGCACGUGUGCCUUUUUGUAUGUACUUUAUGAAUAAGGAUCGGCUAACUCCGUGCCAGCAGCCGCGGUAAUACGGAGGAUCCGAGCGUUAUCCGGAUUUAUUGGGUUUAAAGGGAGCGUAGAUGGGUUGUUAAGUCAGUUGUGAAAGUUUGCGGCUCAACCGUAAAAUUGCAAUUGAUACUGGCAGUCUUGAGUACAGUUGAGGUAGGCGGAAUUCGUGGUGUAGCGGUGAAAUGCUUAGAUAUCACGAAGAACCCCGAUUGCGAAGGCAGCUUACUAAACUGUGACUGACAUUGAUGCUCGAAAGUGUGGGUAUCAAACAGGAUUAGAUACCCCAGUAGUC
rnacentral:rRNA from 1 species